rnacentral:rRNA from 1 species
CGUAGGUGGCAAGCGUUGUCCGGAUUUAUUGGGUUUAAAGGGUGCGUAGGCGGCCCUGUAAGUCAGUGCUGAAAUAUCCCGGCUUAACCGGGAGGGUGGCAUUGAUACUGCAGGGCUUGAGUAAAGUUGAGGUAGGCGGAAUUGACGGUGUAGCGGUGAAAUGCUUAGAUAUCGUCAAGAACACCGAUAGUGUAGACAGCUUACUAAGCUUUAACUGACGCUGAGGCACGAAAGUGUGGGGAUCAAACAGGGUUAGAUACCCUGGUAGUCCACACUGUAAACGUUGAAGACUCGCUGUUGGCGAUACACAGUCAGCGGCUGAGAGAAAUCGUUAAGUCUUCCACCUGGGGGAGUACGCCGGCAACGGUG